GGCGGCAUAGCCAAGUGGUAAGGCGAAGAUCCGCAAGAUCUUGACCCCCUAGUUCAAAUCUGGGUGCCGCCUCCA
rnacentral:tRNA from 1 species